GAAGCUGGAAUCGCUAGUAAUCGCGAAUCAGAAUGUCGCGGUGAAUACGUUCCCGGGUCUUGUACACACCGCCCGUCACACCAUGGGAGUCGGAAAUGCCCGAAGUCAGUGACCUAACCGAAAGGGAGGAGCUGCCGAAGGUGGAGCCGGUAACUGGGGUGAAGUCGUAACAAGGUAAC
rnacentral:rRNA from 1 species